UACUGUUAGUGAUGAUCAAUUAAGUUAAAACAGAUGGGAAUCUCUCUGAACAACAUUGGAGAUUGAUUGUUAAGCUGAAACAGUA
ensembl:snoRNA LOC120096376 small nucleolar RNA SNORD79